GCCUGGUGCGGUGGUGCACGCCUGUAAUCCCAGUGGCUCGGGAGGCUGAGACAGGAGGAUCACGGAGUUCAAAGCCAGCCUCAGCAAUGGCAAGGCCCUAAGCAACUCAGUGAGACCCUGUCUCUA
rnacentral:sRNA from 1 species